ACAAAAAUAAAUGUCCCAUGAUUGUAGUGUUGUCACUGGUACGGGUUUAUUACUAGCUGCUAGUAACUGCCAGUGUUUUUUGUUUUUUGAAAUCUGAUUCCAGAAGAAGAAUAUUACUACAUUCACAUUCCGCAUUCUGUCCAAGAUGCUAACUUCAGAUACCCUUUGCCUUAUAAAUUGAAUGUUGUAAAAUAGACGUAAAAUGCUUUUAAUAGUCAUGUCAAGGAAAUUGAAUGCCUUGCUGGCUCAGUUCAAGUAGUAUUUGCCCUUUUGUUUCUAGGAACUUAAUUUUCCUUUUGAGCCUUCAUUUGGUAGUGUCCAUUUUUUUCCCUUAAAUACUUGCUUGUAGCUCUCUGCAAGUAUAUGCUCUUAAGGAGAGAAUUUGGGUAACACAAGACUGGGAAAGGUUAUGUUGUAGUUUGCUGUAAUCACUGGCAACCAUGCAGUGACACCCAGGUGAUGAUUGACUCUCCGAUGGUUUUAUUGUUACAAAUGUGCGCUUUUGUCCUCGACAGGGGCUCCUCAUGAUUAAGGUGAGGAGGUUUGGCCAGAUGAGUAAAAACUAAGGGAAGAAUGGGGAGGAAAAGAUUGCUUGACCAUUUAAAAAUGUCUAGCACUGUGUCUUCUGUUAGCAGCCAACGUUGUUAUCUGUUACCUUUUGAUAGGUAAACCUGAACAAAUGCAAACAUGAACACAGCUCUGCGGAUCAUCUCGGGUUCCCUUUGGAAACCCCAAAUAAAUGGCCACAAGGGAUUGUGUGUUUUCCUGAGAACAGCUCGGCAUUGGAGUUCUUCCUUUCUGUGUGAUGGAUAGUGGCUCUGCUACUCUCAAAAUGAUACCUAUGCCUGCUGGUGCAAAAUGUCGUAUGGUCCACUUCAGUGGAAGUCAAAAUUUAUCCAUGCUGCUGUUCUGUGUUGCUAGGUUACUAUUAAAAUCUUAAAAUGCAGAUGAAGACUGGCUUGUGCAGAAUCCUUCUGCUGUCUUAUGCAUACAAAAGGGAAUCCUAAACCAAGUUUUGGUACAAGACAGGUCUGCCCCGCAAGACCCGAGGCAAUCGGGCUGUUUCAAGUGAUGGGAAGGGGACCCGCAUGGAGGUGGUGUGUCCCACACCAGCACUCUGGAUUCGAAAAGACACAUCAGAAGAAUCUGAAUACACUGUCUGCUUCCGAGGUUCAAGAUGCCUUCUCCGGCAGUGAACAUGAAUCGAGGGCCUGACAGGAACCUCACAGAGUUCAAAAAAGGCAAAUGCAAUGUCCUACACUGGGUACUGAAUUAAUGUGAUGCAGUUGUGCAGCCUGGGCACAGACUGGUUGUGAAGCACCUUUCCAGAAGCUGAUCUGGGAGUCCUGAGGAACAAGUGAAGAUGAAGGUGUCCAACCACAUUCUGGGCUCCAUUAGAAGAGCACAGCUGAGCAGGGACGAGGAAAGCAAUCUUUCUUCUCUCACAGAAGCACUGAGCACUGCGGCUGGAGUGCUGUGACCAGUUAGGGGCUCCUGAAGACAAGAUGGGAACAAGUCCAGUGGAGGCCAGCAUGGUGAUCAGGAGGUUAGAGCACAGGAGCCAUGGAGAUAGGCAGUGGGGCUUGUUCAGUCUGGAAAACAGGAGGUUAAGGGGUAGGAAAUCCUACUUCAGCUGUGUUAACAGAAGGGGCUGGAAGCUCAUCUUAGUGGUGCACAGUAGUGAGGUAGUGUUGUGUAAUUUUCAGUGUAUGUAAGUGCUGCAUCAUACCACUAAUAAAAAUACUGCAAGUCAGUACUGUCUUGCUGUACUUAAUUGGUCUCCCCACACUGUGGAACCAUUGGGAGUUCCUGGUAACCCUUUUGUUUCAGGAAGGGUGGGUACAGGGAACCUACUCUGGGGCAUUGUUUGGGAUGAUGUUCACUGGUGGGUUUAGGGGUCUUGAUCCUGCCAUUUACAGAAAUAACUGUUCCAAUAUUAAGACAGUAGAGCUGACAGAUCCAGGAAAGUAAAGGAAAUUUCAAAUACUUGCACAGCUCCUGUGCAAACUUUUCCAGACAGGGUAUCUCAACCAGCUUGGUAAAGCCUUUUUCAAAAAAAUAAUAAAUACACAUAUAAGCAUAGCCUUUGCAGGCUGGGGCUCUGGCUGUUACUGUUUGGGGCAGGGAUAGCAGCUUUUCCCCCAUCAUAUGGAUGACUGUGUUCAGUGUAAGAUGUGCAACUGCUGUAACAAGCCUUUUUCUUCCCCAAAUUCAUAUUCUUUCCACUUGGCUCUGGAGUCUGCUCCAAGUAACAGCUCCAGGGAACAAUAUUUCUUGUCAGAAAGUGGGGUUUUGUGAUACAGAUCAAGAUGUCGCCACAUAGAUAAUACUGUCCUCCAGCUCCAGUUGAAAACACUUUUGCUGCUGGCAUGUGCCCAAACAGUUGGGAUGAAUCCACUUCUGGAGUAGGCAGUGGUCUCCCUGGGUAUGGUGAUGGUGUCUUCAGUUCCCAUACACAUGGUUUUGGUUAUCUUCAAAGCAGAGCUAUGCGUGGCAUGCACAUGACAGCAGCUAGGCAAUGUUAAGGUCUGACCCCUCUACUAUAAAUCAGUCUGUGCCAACAGUAACUAACCACAGGAGUUCCCUACAAUUCGGAUCAUAUAGGAAGUAUUACAGAAAUUCUCGAAAAAAAUUCAGUUGUAGCUAUCCUGCAUGACAGUUGAGACUCUGCUGUGGAGAAACAGUUGACUUGAAAUGAAAAAGAACUAUCUUCUGCCUCUUCCCUUCCUCCUGAUACUUGAGAUGUUUGAGAUUCUAUUUUUUUAGGAGACCUUCUUUUAACCUUAAGUUUUACUGCUGCCUCAGUCCUGCUCAAACUUGUAUUCUGUGCUGCCUUUUAUCUGCUUUUAGUAUUUUUUUCCUUACUCUGCUCUUUGCCUUUCAUUCAAACAUUUAAAGACAGCUUCAGAAUCUGAAAAGUAUCUUCCCCAUUUAUGUGGGACACAAAAAAGCUGAGGAAUUAAGCACUGCUAUAGGAAUGCAUCAUGCAGGGUCAUCUCAGCUCCCACACUACUGGACUGCUGCUGCUCUGAAAGACUGACCUAAAGGAAAAAGAUUUUACACUGGCUGUUUUCCAGUACUGUAUGUGAAGGCAAAGGGUGAGAACAGAACUGUAGCAGGUACAGACAGGGAGAACUUUUUAAGGACAGCCCUCACUACUUUGAGGAAUCCUAGCUGCCUAAGAUGGCACCUGCACUCUGUUUCAAUAUACAGAAGAGACAGCACAAACAGCUUUCUUCCAUCCAGACUGAUCAAAAUACAUCUUGUUUUUG
rnacentral:lncRNA from 1 species